UUUCCGUUGGUGAACCAGCGGAGGGAUCAUUACAGGGUUGCAAAACUCCCAAACCAUUGUGAACGUUACCUAUCCCGUUGCUUCGGCGGGCGGCCCGGGCCCCGCGCCCGGCGCCCCCCGGCCCCCCGUGGGCGCCCGCCGGAGGUAAACCAAACCCUUGAAUUGCAUGGCCUCUCUGAGUCUUCUGUACUGAAUAAGUCAAAACUUUCAACAACGGAUCUCUUGGUUCUG
rnacentral:misc_RNA from 1 species